rnacentral:misc_RNA from 1 species
CCGAGUUUACAACUCCCAAACCCCUGUGAACAUACCACUUGUUGCCUCGGCGGAUCAGCCCGCUCCCGGUAAAAACGGGACGGCCCGCCAGAGGACCCCUAAACUCUGUUUCUAUAUGUAAACUUCUGAGUAAAACCAUAAAUAAAUCAA